rnacentral:rRNA from 1 species
AUUGAACGCUGGCGGCAGGCCUAACACAUGCAAGUCGAGCGGAUGAAGGGAGCUUGCUCCUGGAUUCAGCGGAGGACGGGUGAGUAAUGCCUAGGAAUCUGCCUGGCAGUGGGGGAUAACGUCCGGAAACGGGCGCUAAUACCGCAUACGUCCUGAGGGAGAAAGUGGGGGAUCUUCGGACCUCACGCUAUCAGAUGAGCCUAGGUCGGAUUAGCUAGUUGGUGGGGUAAAGGCCUACCAAGGCGACGAUCCGUAACUGGUCUGAGAGGAUGAUCAGUCACACUGGAACUGAGACACGGUCCAGACUCCUACGGGAGGCAGCAGUGGGGAAUAUUGGACAAUGGGCGAAAGCCUGAUCCAGCCAUGCCGCGUGUGUGAAGAAGGUCUUCGGAUUGUAAAGCACUUUAAGUUGGGAGGAAGGGCAGUAAGUUAAUACCUUGCUGUUUUGACGUUACCAACAGAAUAAGCACCGGCUAACUUCGUG